GGAAUAGGUAGAGGCGCACUUGCGAUGAGUAUGUUCCGACAGGUUACCAUUCCGCGAUGAUCGGAGCAGAAAGGCGUUCGUGCCGAAGAAGCUGUACCGGUGACACAGCUUCUGGGCAUAUUUCCAAACAGGGAUAUGACUGUCAUCGUUAUGAUGGAGUGCUAUCGGCGAU
rfam:Ruminococcus callidus ATCC 27760 genomic scaffold Scaffold318, whole genome shotgun sequence.